GAAAGAAGAUUUAGUCUAAUGCAAAGAUAAGGUUUUUUUUUUAACGGUAAGAACAAUAAGGAUGUGGAAUUCUUGCCUGAAGAAGUGGUUUUAUCAGAGUGCGUACAGAUGUUUAAACAGCAAAUGGAUGAAUACUUGCACAAACAGAAUAUUUAAUGACAUCAUUUUUAAUUUGUUGGGUAAUAGCUGCUUGAUCCAAGGAUAAAAUCCGACUGCCAUCCUG